UACAGAGGGUGCGAGCGUUGUCCGGAAUCACUGGGCGUAAAGGGCGCGUAGGUGGCGGCCCAAGUCCAUGGUGAAAGCUCGACGCUCAACGUCGAGUCGGCCACGGAUACUGGGUUGCUCGAGCACUGUAGAGGCAGAUGGAAUUCCGGGUGUAGCGGUGGAAUGCGUAGAGAUCCGGAAGAACACCGGUGGCGAAGGCGGUCUGCUGGGCAGUAGCUGACACUGAGGCGCGACAGCGUGGGGAGCAAAC
rnacentral:rRNA from 1 species